UACGAGUACAUUGAACAUUUGCAAACUCAAGAAUUUGUAAGACAUUUCGAACGGCUUUCUGGUCCUCUGUUGGCUGGUUAGGGGUUUCCUCUCUUCCUCUCCGCCACUACGCCUCUCUGCAACCACUAAUGCUUUAAGACAGAUUAUGGAGCUGACUUGUUUCAAGUAGCUCAUUGUUGUUGCGGUCGCUUGUCGUCAAUUGUUGGUUUUUGUUGUCUAACCAUAAAAUAUGAAAUGUUCAGUUUUGUUUGCUUAUGUUGUUGGUCUUAAUUUGUUGUUGUUUAGGUGCUAGUCGACAGAUAUAGACAAAAAAUUGGAAUUGGAAUCGAAAUUCGUCCUGUAAUGCGAGAAAAUCACGGGAAAUAGAAAGGAUAAGGCAAUAAGGAAACAACUUGCCUCGUUCCCGCUGUAAUACUUAUCCGAUUUCGAUUUUAUUAUCCAUGCGUGGAUAUCGGAAAUGCUCCUCAACUACAAAGUACAAAGUACCGUUACCACUUUGUUGUCAACCGCUGUAGCUUUAGUGGGGCAGUGGAAAAUUUUCUGACAUGGCACAGACUGUAAAUGAAAUGCAUUUCUCACGUGAUGUGCAUUUGGAAUUUUUCGAUUUAAAAUAUUGCCGGUCACUGAUUUAUGGGGGCAUUUAAAAUACAAAUUUCAAGUUGAAAAUGGCCUAGUGCAAGCCCCAGCAAUACACAUGUUGUACACGCAACGAUCUCCUAUUGCAUGAGAAAAAUGUUCUUCUUGACGCCCGACAAAGACAUGUUGCGUAUACGUAUGCUAUGGGAAAGCCUUGGAUGAUUGAUAAGCCGAAAGGCUCCGUUUGUGGAUCGACGAGAAGAGAAGGCAAGACCCUUUCAAACAGGUCAAGAGCUUUGGCUCUAGCCGUUGCAAUGUUGACUUAACGAUUCCUUAUCGAUUGGGCGCAGACAAUUUUGAAAAUAUUUACCACAGUUGCUGUCCGUAUUGACAAUCUCGGUUGAGCUUGAUAAAGUUUUAUCACAUUAAUGGGGCAUUACCGGUCGUGAAAGCUAGAUGGGUGGGUUCUCAAAGUAUUAUCGGAGCUUUGGGGAGGGAUUCUCAAUUAGAAUACACUUUCCACCACAUCUACAUAUAACACUCAGCUUCUGUGUAUCUCGGCCAUCAAUCUAAUUCAAGUGCAAGUCCAAGUGAGACAACUCGUUACGCAAAUACCUGGAAACGAUUUAUUUCCGUUUAUUCCGAAAUAUUCCCCAAAUAUAAAAUGUAAGACUCCACCUGCCCCCUCAUUACAAUGCCAAUCACACUUUUCCUGACCAACUGAGCAAAAUUAAAACCAAAAUUAAAUUUAAGACUUGUUCGGCAAGAAAUUCGCAACACAAAAAUCCAAAUCAUAUUAUCGCUCAUGAUAAUGA